rnacentral:lncRNA from 1 species
AUGGUUAAUCCUCAUAUACUUUCUGUUUUGUUUAGGGUUUUUAACCCACAAGUGAUGUUCAAGAUUCAAGCUUGAUGAAGGUGUGAUUAUGGACUAACUUGGGUUGUCCAACAUAGAAUCCCCACAUUACUUGAUGAUUUCUCUUUGUAUAGUUGUUUCUUAUUCUUGUAUUGUUAUUAGUUCAUGACCCUCCUUGUAUGUUUUUACAUCAAGUGUAGUGGUGAACCAUAAGAGGUACCUAAGUGGAAGCUUGUCCUUCCUACCUCCUACAUGACUUCUAUGACACAUUUUGAGGUACCUAAAUGAAGAUGUAAUCUUCUACCUCAUGCUUGAAAUACUUGAAAAAUCUGGACUUAAUAAUAUAAACUAUACAACCUAAAUAAUAUCUAUGCACAUUCGAACCUUUGAUGUUGAACUCAUGUUCAUUUGUCAAAAUAGUAGGACAUCAUCUAAGACCUAAACCUUGUUAUGAUUCUUAUGAGUGCUAAACUCAUGAAAACAUUAUUAUAACCCUUGUGGUUACCAAGUGUCAUACAAGUGUUAUGUGUUGAAGAUGAUUAUUUCACAUGUUAUUCUCAUAUGUUAUUUUCGUUGUUUUAUUCCGAAUCUCGACUCUAAGCAUACUUGAACUUUAACCCUUAUACUUUCGGACAUUAAAUCUCUACUCGUCAACGAUUGGAUAAUCGGAAAGCCUAUGCAAUAUUGUUGAGGACGAUGAUGCUAUGAAAUGAAGUAGCGUUGAUGCCUAGA